CACAUUGAAUGCAAUGUAUUCACUUAGGCAUCAUGUAUUGUGACGGCUCUCUUUUCGCAACACCAUACCUGAUUUACGGUUAACGGCUGAUACCAGGCUGAAGCUGCAAGUAAAGUUGAGAAAUACCCAUAGACUUCAGUCACCGCAUAAUAGAAAAAACCCGCCCUAUUUUGGAGAUUUCGCAAUUUGGGUUUUCCGUGGAGGGGAGGAGUUGAACUUUCUGGUACAUGAUUCACUUCCUUCAUCAUGGCAGUACGCAGAGCAUUAUUUAUUUCCUUCAAUUUAAAUAUGUUGUCGUAGCACUUAGCCUGUACCUAUAAGCCAAUAAUGCAGCUUAUGUUGAAGUCUAGAAGAAAGAAUGGUGUCUGAUUGAGGUAUCGAAUAGCCUGCUGAAAUAAGUAUUUCUUUGGUGGCUUUAUCUACUCCUAAAUCCAACAACACAAUGCGAGGAGUGUUAUUUAACUUAAAUUACCAGUGGUACCUGGGAGAUCGCAAGGGGGGCUCGCGGUGAAUUGCAUAUCAAGAUACCUCAAAGUAGUUUACGACGGCUGGCAGUCAUUCGUCAAACGGACAGCCGGCUGUCACCUCACCCUACAAUAGCCACUCUGCCCUACACGGCGUGUCACCUCUGGUCGCAGUCUUCAGCGCUACAGAGGGAACCGGUGGAUUUGUGGAGAUGGUUCUCUUCACCACAGCUCUCCUGUCUCUCUCAGUCGCCAUGGUGGGAGUAGGAGGGGCUACUCCAGCCGCCACUCAAUCCAGUGUCCACUCAGGUGAGUGGCAGUUCAGACAAGGUUUUGAUUGGUCAGUAUUAUGCUCCACUCCAAAUAUGACCCCUAGUCCCCUCCGUAGCAAAUUAAUGUAGAUUAGAAAAGAUUGGAUGUGAAUAUGAGAAUAGCUCCGCUUUGCUAAAUGGAGUUCACACCAUAUUUAUUACACCUAUCCAGUCCUUCCCAAACUGUCCCACAUCUACGUGUUUAGGGUGUAGGGGCUUGGGGUAGAGUCCUACACGGGUCAGUUUUUUUGAGCCACACCCGCCCCACGCCAGCCACAUCAAUUUCGAGCCCCACCAGAUACCCGACACCAGGACAGAUUUUUCUCCACAACCCGACCCACCCGGAUUGAAUUGUUCCGAGAGCUGAUCCGUUACCCGCCAUAUGACAUUAA